rnacentral:rRNA from 1 species
UACAGAGGUCUCAAGCGUUGUUCGGAUUCAUUGGGCGUAAAGGGUGCGUAGGUGGCGUCGUACGUCAGGUGUGAAAGCCCCGGGCUCAACCUGGGAAUUGCAUUUGAGACUGCAUAGCUAGGGUGCGGAAGAGGGAAGCGGAAUUUCCGGUGUAGCGGUGAAAUGCGUAGAUAUCGGAAGGAACAUCAGUGGCGAAAGCGGCUUCCUGGUCCAGCACCGACGUUCAGGCACGAAAGCGUGGGGAGCAAACAGG